GUCUACGGCCAUACCACCCUGAACAAGCCCGAUCUCGUCUGAUCUCGGAAGCCAAGCAGGGUCGGGUCUGGUUAGUAUUUGGAUGGGAGAAAUAUCAUUUAUGAAAUGGGGGUGCUAAAUAAUAUCAGAUUGUACACU
rnacentral:rRNA from 1 species